rnacentral:piRNA from 1 species
UGGAUGCUCUAAAACCCAGGGA